rnacentral:rRNA from 1 species
GACAGAGGUGGCAAGCGUUGUUCGGAUUCAUUGGGUGUAAAGGGUCCGGUAGGUGGUCUAGCAAGGUCUGAUGUGAAAUCCCAUGGCUCAACCGUGGAACUGCAUUGGAAACUGUUGGACUUGAGUACCGCAGAGGUAAAGGGAAUUCCCGGUGUAAGGGUGAAAUCUGUAGAUAUCGGGAGGAACACCAGUGGCGAAGGCGCUUACUGGGCGGUUACUGACACUGAGGGACGAAAGCAAGGGGAGCAAACAGG